GACUUUGGGGAACCGGGGCUGACGAACUCCUAGAACUGCUAGAAGAGGAGAUAUCAGAAGACAUUGUGGAUCAAAUGGAAGCCACAAAAAUCCUGGAAGAAUUGAGAAAAAUAGCAAACAAGCCCUCGAGGAAACUAAACGAACAGAACACGAAGAAGAAAGGAUAGAAAAAUGACAAGAAGUUUCAGAACUAACCUAGAUUGGCCCC
rnacentral:lncRNA from 1 species